GGUGUGCGUGUCCCCGGUGGCGUGAUGGGGGGCAAAGAGAUGGACGUGUCCAGACGAGUGUGACUGCGCUCUGGAGACUGCGGCGUGCUGUCCAGCCUGGAUGCCAGGAGACCAUUCUGGUAGUGAGCACGAGUGAUCUGCAGACAGUGUCCCACCGUGUCCCAACGGUCUCCAUUAUACUGCUCAGAUAUGAGGACGGACCAGUGACUGAGAUGGACAAGAUGGCAGCUCCCUGAAGGAGGCCAAAAAACAUCAGGAUCACUCCCUGGUGGCUGCCUGUAGUAUUGGCCACAAACCUUCAUGUUUCUGAUAAAUUUAGUUUAAAUGAGUUGUUGGACACUUUAAAAACAGGGCGAGACGUCAGGAUUGACAAUGAGAUUGGCUCAUGACUGGUCUGACAAAUGCAUCGGCUGGACCUCGAUAUGCGUAUGCUCCACUCUCUGAUCACUACGGUGCUGAAUCUGGUGUCAAAUGACGUCAGCAGCGUGAGAUGGCAGUGCCAAGAUAUACUGGGUUCCCUUGUGUAUGGUGGGAGAAAGUGGAGACACAUCCACCAUCUUUAGAAACAUCAUUGGGAGGGAGCAAUUUUUUUAAAUAUGAGCCAAACCUUUCAGGUGGAAAACACCCAAUGGUUAAUUAGUUGGAUCAUGGAAAUGACUUUUCUUAUCUGCAUUUAAAUAUCUAAACAACCCUCCCAAGGGAAACAAACAGAUAUUGUAAGGACAACUUGUGAUAAUUCAUAAUGUUCUUUAAAAAUAACAGCAAAUAAUAAGCAGGAUCGUUUGAACGGAGAUGGUUAUUAAUGCAAAAAUAAACCACUCUUCUUCCUCUGACUGAUACCUAAUGAGACUGAGCUGGCAUCAGUCAAAAAGGGACUUACCUUGACGAACUGCAGGUCAGUGAGAGCACGCACGCAGAAGUCUGGGAUGUACUGGAAGGGCGUGCCUGGGAUCUGGGUGUUGCUCCCACCGACGGAGCCACUUUCCGGAGCGCGCUCAGUGCAGCUCAGUGACGCUGAGCGGUUGAGGUUGCCCCCGUGCGAUGGAGAUCGAAACUCUGGGGUUGACAGAGAAGGGAGUGAGCACGAGAGUGAAGAUUAAAAUAUAGAAAAACAUUUUUUAAAAAGGAAGUGGUGCGGUGGCCCUGCGAGCUCAACACACAGCAACUUAAGGAAAACAAACAAAUUCUGAAAACGUCAUCGAAUUGACAACACAUACUGAAAAAACAACACAACCAUUUGCAGACGGGCAACAAAAAGCACAGACAACAAUCAAGGUGUUUCCAAGAGACACAAAAAAUAUUUUAGUGAAUAGAUAAAGUCACAAAUUGAACAAAGGCAGAGCUUUCCUAUGAAUAUAGAAUAUUAAUAAUAUCGCACCAAUAGUAUUAAUAUUUAAAAUUGACCUAGAGAGCAAUUGUGAGGUAGUUCUCAAUGAAGGAGAGUGAAUGGAGCUAAACAGCUAAAAUAGUUUUUUACACCUGUUUCUUGACACAAAAAAAAAGCCACAUUUAACUUUGUCAAAUAAAGUAUUAAUACUAUACCAGAACUGAUAAUAAAAGAUACUAAUGUCCUUUCAUUUAUCUUACAGGCAGAGUGAUUUAGCUCAUAGCCUUCUGCUAAUGCAUGCCGAUUGGUCAGUUAGGGUUACGACUGAUUGCAACAGGUCACCUUCCUCGAUGGCACAUUACGAGUCUGAGGAAAUGAAUGAGGUGAAUAUCUGUUGUUUCUCCCUUUUGUAUUGAAAAAAUAAAGACAAUUGUGAAAAAUGUUGAAGUUAUGAAAGUGGAAGUUGAAAGAGCAUGUCCCAGUGAGCUUCAUCACAUUUCUAUGUCCCCUGGAAACACUUUGGUCAUCUGUGCACGUUUCUGUGUUUGGUUGUGUUAGUAUUUGCAGUGUGUUUCUGUAUUUUGUUGUGUUGUUAGUAUUUGCAGUGUGUUUCUGUGUUUGGUUGUGUUAGUAUUUGCUGUGUAUUUCUUUAUUUGGUUGUGUUGUGAGUAUGUUAAGCACAUGUGUUGUUAAAUUGAUGAAGUUUCCUGAA